rnacentral:rRNA from 1 species
AUGCGUGCAGGCAUAGAGGAGGUCUUUCCGUUAGCAGUGCACAGACACUACAGGUGGCAUAUUACCAAGAAGGCUGGAGAGACGCUAGGACCAUUCUUUGCUGACCGUCCAGAGCUACACAAGGCAUUCGAGUUGUGUGUGGACCACAACUUGACAGUGGAGGAGUUUGAACAGAGCUGGACGGCUAUGAUUGAAACAUACCAAGUCCAAGACAAUGAGACACUUAAUAGCCUGUGGGAGAAGCGAAUGUACUAGGUGCCAGCCUACUUCAUGCAGUGCUUCUAUCCAUUUCUGUAGACUACGCAACGCAGCGAGGGGUUCAAUGCUGUUUUGAAGCAUUAUGUGAGCCCUGGCAACUCAUUGUUGCAGUUUGCCAAGCAAUAUUCAGCUUUGCAACAGAAAAUACUGGGAUUUGAGCUACAGCAAGAAGCAAACACCGCACUCAAGCAACCUAAAUUGCUAACAAAUUUACCGAUGGAGAGGCAGAUGAGCAAGAUAUACACCAACAAGAUAUUUAACAAGUAA